GACCGCUUGGUAGCGUGGCCUAAGACGCUGGAUUACGCCUCCCGUCUCUUCGGGGGCGUGGGUUCGAAUCCCACCGCUGCCU